GGGGCGGCGGGGCUUACACAUGCAAGUCGAACGAUGAAGACUGGUGCUUGCACUGGUUGGAUUAGUGGCGAACGGGUGAGUAAUACGUGAGUAACCUGCCUUUGACUCUGGGAUAAGCCUGGGAAACUGGGUCUAAUACCGGAUAUGACAAGGAACCGCAUGGUUUUUUGUGGAAAGGGUUUGUACUGGUUUUAGAUGGGCUCACGGCCUAUCAGCUUGUUGGUGAGGUAAUGGCUCACCAAGGCGACGACGGGUAGCCGGCCUGAGAGGGUGACCGGCCACACUGGGACUGAGACACGGCCCAGACUCCUACGGGAGGCAGCAGUGGGGAAUAUUGCACAAUGGGCGCAAGCCUGAUGCAGCGACGCCGCGUGAGGGAUGACGGCCUUCGGGUUGUAAACCUCUUUCAGCAGGGAAGAAGCGAAAGUGACGGUACCUGCAGAAGAAGCGCCGGCUAACUACGUGCCAGCAGCCGCGGUAAUACGUAGGGCGCGAGCGUUGUCCGGAAUUAUUGGGCGUAAAGAGCUUGUAGGCGGUUUGUUGCGUCUGCUGUGAAAGACCGGGGCUUAACCCCGGUAUUGCAGUGGGUACGGGCAGACUAGAGUGCAGUAGGGGAGACUGGAAUUCCUGGUGUAGCGGUGAAAUGCGCAGAUAUCAGGAGGAACACCGAUGGCGAAGGCAGGUCUCUGGGCUGUAACUGACGCUGAGAAGCGAAAGCAUGGGGAGCGAACAGGAUUAGAUACCCUGGUAGUCCAUGCCGUAAACGUUGGGCACUAGGUGUGGGGGACAUUCCACGUUUUCCGCGCCGUAGCUAACGCAUUAAGUGCCCCGCCUGGGGAGUACGGCCGCAAGGCUAAAACUCAAAGGAAUUGACGGGGGCCCGCACAAGCGGCGGAGCAUGCGGAUUAAUUCGAUGCAACGCGAAGAACCUUACCAAGGCUUGACAUAUACUGGACCGCCUCAGAGAUGGGGUUUCCCUUCGGGGCUGGUAUACAGGUGGUGCAUGGUUGUCGUCAGCUCGUGUCGUGAGAUGUUGGGUUAAGUCCCGCAACGAGCGCAACCCUCGUUCUAUGUUGCCAGCACGUUAUGGUGGGGACUCAUAGGAGACUGCCGGGGUCAACUCGGAAGAAAGGUGGGGGAUGACGUCAAAUCAUCAUGCCCCUUAU
rnacentral:rRNA from 2 species